GACGAACGCUGGCGGCGUGCCUAAUACAUGCAAGUAGAACGCUGAAGAGAGGAGCUUACUCUUCUUGGAUGAGUUGCGAACGGGUGAGUAACGCGUAGGUAACCUGCCUUGUAGCGGGGGAUAACUAUUGGAAACGAUAGCUAAUACCGCAUAACAAUGGAUGACACAUGUCCUUUAUUUGAAAGGGGCAAUUGCUCCACUACAAGAUGGACCUGCGUUGUAUUAGCUAGUAGGUGAGGUAAUGGCUCACCUAGGCGACGAUACAUAGCCGACCUGAGAGGGUGAUCGGCCAAACUGGGACGGAGACACGGCCCAGACUCCUACGGGAGGCAGCAGUAGGGAAUCUUCGGCAAUGGGGGCAACCCUGACCGAGCAACGCCGCGUGAGUGAAGAAGGUUUUCGGAUCGUAAAGCUCUGUUGUAAGUCAAGAAAGGGUGUGAGAGUGGAAAGUUCACACUGUGACGGUAGCUUACCAGAAAGGGACGGCUAACUACGUG
rnacentral:rRNA from 1 species